AGUGAACGCUGGCGGUAGGCCUAACACAUGCAAGUCGAACGGCAGCACAGUAAGAGCUUGCUCUUACGGGUGGCGAGUGGCGGACGGGUGAGGAAUACAUCGGAAUCUACUUUUUCGUGGGGGAUAACGUAGGGAAACUUACGCUAAUACCGCAUACGACCUACGGGUGAAAGCAGGGGAUCUUCGGACCUUGCGCGAUUGAAUGAGCCGAUGUCGGAUUAGCUAGUUGGCGGGGUAAAGGCCCACCAAGGCGACGAUCCGUAGCUGGUCUGAGAGGAUGAUCGGCCACACGGGAACUGAGACACGGUCAAGACUCCUACGGGAGGAAGCAGUGGGGAAUAUUGGACAAUGGGCGCAAGCCGGAUCAAGCCAUACCGCGUGGGGGAAGAAGGCCUUCGGGUUGUAAAGCCCUUUUGUUGGGAAAGAAAAGCAGCAGGUUAAUACCCCGCUGUUCUGACGGUACCCAAAGAAUAAGCACCGGCUAACUUCGUG
rnacentral:rRNA from 1 species